rnacentral:rRNA from 1 species
GAGCUGGGUUUAGACCGUCGUGAGACAGGUUAGUUUUACCCUACUGUUGACUAAUUGUUGCGAUAGUAAUCCUGCUUAGUACGAGAGGAACAGCAGGUUUAGACAUUUGGUUCAUGGACUUGACCGAUCGGUCAAUGGUCCGAAGCUAACAUCUAGGGGAUUAUGACUGAACGCCUCUAAGUCAGAAUCCAACCUAGUCAAGGUAGUAAUAACUUUGUUUCCCGGUGUCGGGAGGCAACUCUAUCUCGUGGUAACGCGAGAGCUUAUGCCCCAGUAAAUGGCCUUGCCGGUAUGGAUAAUCCCUGCUGGUUGCUAAAGCCAGAUCACUCUGGUUCAAUGUCGGGGCGCAAAAUCACAUGUCUACGACAUGUAUACUGGUCARGGUGUUGUAUCCAGUAGAGCAGUGUUUGUAUACUGCGAUCUGUUGAGACUAUCCUAUGAUCGGGUGUUU